GAAUGUAAGACCGAGGGCCUUACCAGAUGCUCCAAGGAGCUGACUGCGGCGAAGAACACCCAGGAAGGAACACACCGGACAAGUUGGAAAGUGAAACAGACCUUAGUCUGGCCAGACGGCACUCCCAAAGCAAAGUAGUUUAGAGAGGCGUCAGUCCAGAGUCUGAGGCUCUUUUUAUAGGAGCUUGCAGGGAAGUUAACAGGUGAAAUUUACAGAAGAAGGAACAAAGAAGAACACAGCAAGCUCCUAUUUCCCAGAGAAGGAAGUGAAGCUUUAUGGAAGAAUCCAGUCAGACUCUUGGAAGCAACCUUGUCAAAGCUUUGGCUGGUCUUUGGGUAAGUCAGGGAAGAGCUAUGACAAGAUAUAUGGCUCAAAAAUGGACUUUCCUUUCUUGUUCCCGGCAAACCACUUUAGGAAAGGCACCAAUGCUGGCUCUGCAUAAUGAACUUGAAACACUAACUCCACCAUGGCUGGCGCAGCCUGGGAAGUCCUGGGGCAGCAGUGUCUCUUCUCUUCUGAUUUUGGCCAGUUUUUCUCCCUGUG
ensembl:lncRNA